GCGGCCUAUCAGCUUGUUGGUGAGGUAAUGGCUCACCAAGGCAACGACGGGUAGCCGGCCUGAGAGGGCGACCGGCCACACUGGGACUGAGACACGGCCCAGACUCCUACGGGAGGCAGCAGUGGGGAAUAUUGGGCAAUGGAGGAAACUCUGACCCAGCGACGCCGCGUGCGGGAUGAAGGCCUUCGGGUUGUAAACCGCUUUCGGUAGGGAAGAAGCGAAAGUGACGGUACCUACAAAAGAAGCACCGGCUAACUAUGUGCCAGCAGCCGCGGUAAUACAUAGGGUGCAAGCGUUGUCCGGAAUUAUUGGGCGUAAAGAGCUCGUAGGUCGUUUGUUACGUCGGAUGUGAAAACCUGANGCUCAACCUCAGGCCUGCAUUCGAUACGGGCAAACUAGAGUUUGGUAGGGGAGACUGGAAUUCCU
rnacentral:rRNA from 1 species